GGACAAUGAUGAUAAAUGUUUCACAAAAUAUAAUCUUUUGGCACUGAUUGGCAUUUCUCUGCCAUGCUGCCAUUCUGCAAUUUCCAUGUCC
rnacentral:snoRNA from 1 species